AUUGAACGCUGGCGGCAUGCUUUACACAUGCAAGUCGAACGGUAACAGGGUGCUUGCACCGCCGACGAGUGGCGAACGGGUGAGUAAUGCGUCGGAACGUGCCGAGUAGUGGGGGAUAACGCAUCGAAAGGUGUGCUAAUACCGCAUACGUACUGAGGUAGAAAGUGGGGGACCUUCGGGCCUCACGCUAUUCGAGCGGCCGACGUCGGAUUAGCUAGUUGGUGAGGUAAAGGCUCACCAAGGCGACGGUCAGUAGCGGGUCUGAGAGGAUGAUCCGCCACACGGGGACUGAGACACGGCCCAGACUCCUCCGGGAGGCAGCAGUGGGGAAUUUUGGACAAUGGGCGCAAGGCUGAUCCAGCCAUGCCGCGUGUCUGAAGAAGGCCUUCGGGUUGUAAAGGACUUUUGUCCGGGAGCAAAUACCCAGUGCUAAUAACGCUGGGGGCUGAGAGUACCGGAAGAAUAAGCACCGGCUAACUACGUGCCAGCCGCCGCAGUAAUAC
rnacentral:rRNA from 1 species